rnacentral:rRNA from 1 species
GACAGAGGAUGCAAGCGUUAUCCGGAAUGAUUGGGCGUAAAGCGUCUGUAGGUGGCUUUUCAAGUCCGCCGUCAAAUCCCAGGGCUCAACCCUGGACAGGCGGUGGAAACUACCAAGCUGGAGUACGGUAGGGGCAGGAGGGAAUUUCCGGUGGAGCGGUGAAAUGCAUUGGAGAUCGGAAAGAACACCAACGGCGAAGGCAGCUUGCUGGGACGGUAGCUGAC